rnacentral:rRNA from 1 species
AUUGAACGCUGGCGGAAUGCUUUACACAUGCAAGUCGAACGGCAGCACGGGGGCAACCCUGGUGGCGAGUGGCGAACGGGUGAGUAAUAUAUCGGAACGUGCCCAGUCGUGGGGGAUAACGUAGCGAAAGUUACGCUAAUACCGCAUACGAUCUACGGAUGAAAGCGGGGGUUCGCAAGACCUCGCGCGAUUGGAGCGGCCGGUAUCAGAUUAGGUAGUUGGUGAGGUAAAGGCGCACCAAGGCAACGAUCUGUAGCUGGUCUGAGAGGACGACCAGCCACACUGGGACUGAGACGCGGCCCAGACUCCUACGGGAGGCAGCAGUGGGGAAUUUUGGACAAUGGGCGCAAGCCUGAUCCAGCCAUUCCGCGUGCAGGACGAAGGCCUUCGGGUUGUAAACUGCUUUUGUACGGAACGAAAAAGCCUUGGCUAAUACCCAGGGUCCAUGACGGUACCGUAAGAAUAAGCACCGGCUAACUACGUGCCAGCCGCCGCAGUAA